AUUGAACGCUGGCGGCAGGCCUAACACAUGCAAGUCGAGCGAGAGGCGGACGGGUGAGUAAUGUCUUGGAAACUGCCCGAUGGAGGGGGAUAACUACUGGAAACGGUAGCUAAUACCGCAUACCAUCUGAUGUGCCCAGAUGGGGUUAGCUAGUAGGGGGGGUAACGGAUCACCUAGGCGACGAUCCCUAGCUGGUCUAAGAGUAUGACCAACCAGACUGGAACUGAGGCACGGUGCAGAUUCCUAAGGUAGGCCGCAGUGGGGAAUAUUGGACAAGGGGCGAAAGCCUGAUGCAGCCAUGGCGCGUGUGUGAAGAUGGCCUGCGGGUUGUAAAACAAUUUCAGCGAGGAGACGUUACCCGCAGAAGAAGCGCCGGCGAACUCCGUACCAGCAGCCGCGGUAAUGC
rnacentral:rRNA from 1 species